ACGAACGCUGGCGGCGUGCUUAACACAUGCAAGUCGAACGGUGAAGGGGUCUGCUUUUGUGGGCCCUGGAUGAGUGGCGAACGGGUGAGUAACACGUGAGUAACCUGCCCCCUUCUUCUGGAUAACCGCAUGAAAGUGUGGCUAAUACGGGAUAUUCUGGGUCUGUCGCAUGAUGGGUCUGGGAAAGAUUGCGCCUUUGGGUGUUUUUGGUGGGGGAUGGGCUCGCGGCCUAUCAGCUUGUUGGUGGGGUGAUGGCCUACCAAGGCGGUGACGGGUAGCCGGCCUGAGAGGGUGGACGGUCACACUGGGACUGAGACACGGCCCAGACUCCUACGGGAGGCAGCAGUGGGGAAUAUUGCACAAUGGGCGCAAGCCUGAUGCAGCGACGCCGCGUGAGGGAUGGAGGCCUUCGGGUUGUAAACCUCUUUCGCCAGUGAAGCAGGCCUGCUCCUUGUGGGUGGGUUGACGGUAGCUGGAUAAGAAGCGCCGGCUAGCUACGUG
rnacentral:rRNA from 1 species